rnacentral:rRNA from 1 species
GCUUACACAUGCAAGUCGAACGAGAAGCUAUCUUCGGAUAGUGGAAAGUGGCGCACGGGUGAGUAACGCGUGGGAACCUGCCCCGAGGUUCGGAAUAACGGCUGGAAACGGCCGCUAAUACCGGAUAAGCCCUGAGGGGGAAAGAUUUAUCGCCUUGGGAGGGGCCCGCGUCCGAUUAGCUUGUUGGUGUGGUAAUGGCGCACCAAGGCUGCGAUCGGUAGCUGGUCUGAGAGGAUGAUCAGCCACACUGGGACUGAGACACGGCCCAGACUCCUACGGGAGGCAGCAGUGGGGAAUAUUGGACAAUGGGGGAAACCCUGAUCCAGCAAUGCCGCGUGUGUGAAGAAGGCCUUAGGGUUGUAAAGCACUUUCAGUCGUGACGAUGAUGACGGUAACGACAGAAGAAGCCCCGGCUAACUCCGUGCCAGCAGCCGCGGUAAUACGGAGGGGGCAAGCGUUGUUUGGAAUUACUGGGCGUAAAGGGCGCGCAGGCGGCCAAGUCAGUCAGGCGUGAAAGCCCGGGGCUCAACCCCGGAAUUGCGCUUGAUACUGCUAGGCUAAAGACCGGAAGAGGGUA